GUGGGGAAUAUUGGACAAUGGGCGAAAGCCUGAUCCAGCCAUGCCGCGUGUGUGAAGAAGGUCUUCGGAUUGUAAAGCACUUUAAGUUGGGAGGAAGGGCAGUAAGUUAAUACCUUGCUGUUUUGACGUUACCAACAGAAUAAGCACCGGCUAACUUCGUGCCAGCAGCCGCGGUAAUACGAAGGGUGCAAGCGUUAAUCGGAAUUACUGGGCGUAAAGCGCGCGUAGGUGGUUCAGCAAGUUGAAGGUGAAAUCCCCGGGCUCAACCUGGGAACUGCCUCCAAAACUACUGAGAUAGAGUACGGUAGAGGGUAGUGGAAUUUCCUGUGUAGCGGUGAAAUGCGUAGAUAUAGGAAGGAACACCAGUGGCGAAGGCGACUACCUGGACUGAUACUGACACUGAGGUGCGAAAGCGUGGGGAGCAAACAGGAUUAGAAACCCGUGUAGUCC
rnacentral:rRNA from 1 species